rnacentral:rRNA from 1 species
GACGAACCGUGCGAACGUUAUUCGGAAUCACUGGGCUUAAAGCGCGUGUAGGCGGGGCGGAACGUCGGUCGCUGAAAUCCCCCGGCUCAACCGGGGAAGGGGCGCCGAUACGACCGGCCUGGAGGGACGUAGGGGGAGCUGGAACUUCCGGUGGAGCGGUGAAAUGCGCAGAUAUCAGGAAGAACACCCGUGGCGAAGGCGGCUCUCUGGGACGGUACUGACGCUGAGACGCGAAAGCGUGGGGAGCGAACAGG